CAAUAGCGUAUAUUAAAGUUGUUGCGGUUAAAAAGCUCGUAGUUGGAUUUCUGCCGAGGACGACCGGUCCGCCCUCUGGGUGUGUAUCUGGUUUGGCCUGGGCAUCUUCUUGGAGAACGUAGCUGCACUUGACUGUGUGGUGCGGUGUCCAGGACUUUUACUUUGAGGAAAUUAGAGUGUUUCAAGCAGGCACACGCCUUGAAUACAUUAGCAUGGAAUAAUAAGAUAGGACCUCGGUUCUAUUUUGUUGGUUUCUAGAGCUGAGGUAAUGAUUAAUAGGGAUAGUUGGGGGCAUUCGUAUUUAACUGUCAGAAGUGAAAUUCUUGGAUUUGUUAAAGACGGACUACUGCGAAAGCAUUUGCCAAGGAUGUUUUCAUUGA
rnacentral:rRNA from 1 species